CCUGGACCCGAAGCGGGAUGAUCUAGCCCUGGGCAGGUUGAAGCGCGGGUAAGACCGCGUGGAGGACCGAACCCACCUGGGUUGAAAACCGGGGGGAUGACCUGGGGCUAGGGGUGAAAGGCCAAUCAAAUUCCGUGAUAGCUGGUUCUCUCCGAAAUGCAUUUAGGUGCAGCGUCGGUCGAUUGCGUCGCGGGGGUAGAGCUACCGGAUGCUUGCGGGCCCUUGUUGGGUACCAACAGCAGCCGAACUCCGAAUACCGUUGACGUGUAUUCCGGCAGUGAGUCGGCGGGGGAUAAGCUCCGUCGUCGAGAGGGAGACAGCCCAGACCGUCGUCUAAGGUCCCGAAGCGUGUGCUAAGUGGGAAAGGAUGUGGAGUCGCAUAGACAGCCAGGAGGUUGGCUCAGAAGCAGCCAUCCUUGAAAGAGUGCGUAACAGCUCACUGGUCUAGUGGUUCCGCGCCGACAAUGUAGCGGGGCUCAAGCACACCACCGAAGACGCGGCAGUACUUCUGUACUGGGUAGGAGAGCGUCCCGUGCGGGGCGAAGCGGCGGCGUGAGCCUGUCGUGGACCGCACGGGAGUGAGAAUGCAGACAUGAGUAGCGAGAGACGGGUGAGGAUCCCGUCCGCUGGAUGACCAAGGGUUCCGGGGCCACGUUCAUCGUCCCCGGGUUAGUCGGGUCCUAAGGCGAGGCCGACAGGCGUAGUCGAAUGGACGAACGGGUCGAUAUUCCCGUACCGGCUUUGGACCGACCGGUCCGAGACCGGGUUGCUAACCUCCGUUCCGGUUCCGUGCCCUCCUUCGGGUGGGUGUGGGUCCGGCGCGUUGGGAACCGCCCGGCAGUAGGGCAGCGCAGGAGUGACACGGACGGGUAGCCGGCCGCGGAGGUGGUUUUCCGUGGUCAAGCACGCAGCCAGUCAUGUAGGCAAAUCCGCAUGGCGCGCAUGGCGAGGUGUGAUGAUGGGAGCCGUUAUGGCUCGAUAUCCGGUUGUCCAGGCCGUCGAGAAAAGCCUCGGCGUGAGGGCCAUGGCCGCCCGUACCCCAAACCGACACUGGUGGUCAGGUAGAGAAUACCAAGGCGAUCGAGCGAAUCCUGGUCAAGGAACUCGGCAAAUCACUCCCGUGCCUUCGGUAUAAGGGAGACCCGCUGGGGUGAAGGACCUUGCGUCCGGAGCUUUGGUGGGUGGCACAGACCAGGGGGUAGCGACUGUUUACCAAAAACACAGGUGCAUGCGAAGGCGAAAGCCGCUGUAUAUGCACUGACGCCUGCCCGGUGCCGGAAGGUUAAGAGGAUCCGUCAACUCUUCGGAGCGAAGCGGUGAAUUCAAGCCCCGGUAAACGGCGGUGGUAACUAUAACCAUCCUAAGGUAGCGAAAUUCCUUGUCGGGUAAGUUCCGACCUGCACGAAUGGCGUAACGACUUCCCCACUGUCUCGACCAGGAGCUCGGCGAAAUUGCAGUACGAGUAAAGAUGCUCGUUAAGCGCAGAAGGACGAAAAGACCCCGGGACCUUUACUAUACCUUGGUAUUGGCGUUAGGCGCGGAUUGUGUAGCAUAGGCGGGAGGCUUCGAAGCGUGGGCGCCAGCUCAUGUGGAGCCGCAAGGUGAAAUACCGCUCUGUUCUCGUUUGACGUCUAACCUCGACAAGUCAUCCUUGUCAGGGACAGUGCCUGGCGGGUAGUUCAACUGGGGCGGUUGCCUCCCAAAGAGUAACGGAGGCGCUCAAAGGUCCGCUCAGCCCGGUUGGCAAUCGGGUGUCGAGUGUAAUCGCACAAGCGGGCUUGACUGCGAGGACGACGGUCCGAGCAGGGACGAAAGUCGGAGAUAGUGAUCCGGUGCCGGCGCACGGGCGCGGCAUCGCUCAACGGAUAAAAGGUACCCCGGGGAUAACAGGCUGAUCAUUCCCAAGAGUCCAUAUCGACGGGAUGGUUUGGCACCUCGAUGUCGGCUCGUCGCAUCCUGGGGCUGGAGCAGGUCCCAAGGGUUCGGCUGUUCGCCGAUUAAAGCGGCACGCGAGCUGGGUUCAGAACGUCGUGAGACAGUUUGGUCUCUAUCCUCUGCGCUCGUUGGAAUCCUGAGGAGGCCUGCCCAUAGUACGAGAGGACCUGGGUGGACGAACCUCUGGUAUGCCGGUUGUCGCGCCAGCGGCACGGCCGGUUGGCUACGUUCGG
rnacentral:rRNA from 1 species